AAGGGUAUGUGCGCGGACGAUCGGUUGUGUCCGUAGAAGUAUGUAGGGUGACUUAGUAGGUAAAUCCAUUAAGUUAUAUCUGAGGUAUGAUAUACAGUCGUAAGAUGAAUGUGCAAAUCCCACGCUGCCAAGAAAAGCUUCUAACGUUAAUAUUUGACUGCCCGUACUGCAAACCGACACAGGUGGUCAGGAUGAGAAAUCUAAGGCGGACAGGCUAACUCUCGUUAAGGAACUCUGCAAAAUAACCUCGUAACUUCGGGAGAAGAGGAGCCCUUGAGGGUCAGUAUCCACGCGAUACAAAGCGCUCGAGGGUCGCAGUGAAGAGGCUCAAGCAACUGUUUAACAAAAACACAGGUCUAUGCUAAGCUGGAAGGCGAUGUAUAUGGGCUGACACCUGCCCAGUGCUGGAAGGUUAAGAGGAGGAGUGAGAGCUCCGAAUUGAAGCCCCAGUGAACGGCGGCCGUAACUAUAACGGUCCUAAGGUAGCGAAAUUCCUUGUCGGGUAAGUUCCGACCUGCACGAAUGGUGU
rnacentral:rRNA from 1 species